rnacentral:rRNA from 1 species
GACGAACGCUGGCGGCGUGCUUAACACAUGCAAGUCGAACGGAAAGGCCCUGCUUGCCGGGUACUCGAGUGGCGAACGGGUGAGUAACACGUGGGUGAUCUGCCCUGCACUUCGUGAUAAGCCUUGGAAACUGGGUCUAAUACCGGAUAGGAGCCCUUUUUAUUGUUAUGGUUGGAAAGUUUUUUCGGUGUAGGAUGAGCUCUCGGCCUAUCAGCUUGUUGGUGGGGUAAUGGCCUACAAAGGCGGCGACGGGUAGCCGGCCUGAGAGGGUGGACGGCCACAUGGGGAUUGAGAAACGGCCAAGACGCAGCCGGGAGGAAGAAGUGGGGAACAUGGAAAAAGGGGCGAAAGCCUGAGGAAGCGACGCCGCGUGGGGGAGGACGGCCUUCGGGUGGUAAACUCAUUUCGCUAGGGACGAAGCUUUUUGUGACGGUACCUAGAUAAGAAGCACCGGAUAACUACG